GUCAUGGGGGCACACAUGCUCCACUUGUUUGUGUGAGGAUCGAAGCAUUCCAUCGACCGCAGGCAUGAGCUUCCAUCUCGACCUCCAACUGCAAACAAUCUGGAAAACAACGGCCAGUUCCCUGAGGCUUCAAAAGGAAGCAGGCCAGGAGGAAACACCUUGGUUGUGGUUUUUUUGACCUGGAUGCAGAGAGGCUCCCAGGCCUGUCAGUCAACACCAAUAUCUUUCACAACCCGACAUCUCUGCUGCCAACUUAGUUCCAAGACAAAAGCAACCCCCCUACCCCCCUCCCACCAGCCCCUGAAUCAACAAUGGAGACUAGCCCUUCAAAGUCAUUUGUUUGGUGAAAGGCACUGGUGUCAGGGUCUCCUAACCCAUUUCCUUUCAAGACAGGAAUCUCGAGGAAGAGGAAUGAAUGUAGCACUUAAUUCAGAAGUUGCUAUGGUGAGAGGCCACAGAGACAGAAGCAAUAAAGAGCCGUAGCAUGGAGCUGGGGUGCAUCACACUGUCAAAUGCAGCUCACUGGCGCAUGGAAAUGACCUUGUCUCAACUGCAGACAUUUACUUUCUUUCUUUCUUCAUAAGACAUUUUGUGGGCCUACAGGAAUAACCCAGGAACACAGGGAACAUGGCCUUGGUGAACACAGCCCUGUGUCUUUGCUUCGCCGUGUUUCCCCAGCAGUGUGAUGGUUUGAACGAUCAAGCUAUUAUUGGCUGAUUCAUUUCUUGCCGCUUUAGUGCCACUGAUUGCCAUGAUUCCUCAUGCAGGUGAAAGAUAUGCAUUGGCAAUUGGGGCCCGUUUCAAAAUCACAAGACCUUCUCCUCUCCUUUUAUCACUGCCCCACCAGCAACUUGCCUACAGAACACUGAGCUGACAAAGCACAGGAAUUUCAACACCACUGAAAGCUUAAGAGGGACCCGCAAGAAAUGGGUUUAACUGCUGGAGCCCACGGCUAGUAUUUUCAGUGCCAAUUUUAGCCCGGGACUUGUCACAGAACAGAGUGGAUUGGUAAGUAGGCCUACUGUUAGCUACCAACAAAAAUAGCUUUCAAGCUUAGACAUGUGGAAUCAAAGCCUGUCUUUAUUUGGGUGUAAUGUCUGGAGUUUCAGAUGUAAUUUAAUGUUAGUGUACACAAUGAAUAAUCUUCAGGUUUAACUAUAAUAUGGUAAAGCCUAGUUUAUGUUGCAUUCUUUUCAUUUUGUCUUUUAUUUGUCUUUUGUAAUGUUACUGCAUGGGGCAAUCUGCACUAACUGACUCUAAUCUAGCAACAAGAAAGUUUUCAGAGGUCUGUCAAUGCUAUGUUUGUAUCACAGACUAAUCUAAAAAUUGAGUGCCUUCCUAUAGUAGUAGCUACAUCACAAUAUUGCAAUGUUCAGUUAAUUUACUUUCAGGAAGCCUCCGGCUUGAUAGCCACAACAGAUGGAUAUAAAUAGAACUUAACUGUAAGUUUGAAUUGGGUGUCAAAAGCAGGUCCUGAAAAGGUCAAAAUUCAGGAAAGUACCCCAAUGUGCCUCGAUGUAGCUAUGAAUGGCAUGGCAAAUGCAUGGCUGUCUUUCAGAGAACAAUAAAACAUUGAAAUUUAAAUCUUACUAUUAGCAAAUUUCACAAAUUCUUGUGGGCAUUUCAUUUAAAACUGCUGAAACUGCCAAGGAAUUCCUCUGACUUUACAGCGACAACUGACUUUACUUUGGGAAAAUAAACGUUUCACAAAAUUUCAGAAAUAAAAAUGCGUUAGGGUGAAGUGAGAGCUUGGUGAACAACCUACAGAAAAAAGAACAUAUGCACUUACUUUCCGUUAAGCGAUGUGACGCCCACCGUGCUCCGAGGAGUGGACAUGCUGGCCACGUAGUUCCACUGUCGUGCCUGGGGGUCCCACCUCUCCACCGUGUUCAGAUAGCUCCAUCCAUCAUGGCCCCCGACAGCAUACAUGGGUCCUUCCAGCACAGCGAUCCCUGCUCAAAAUGAAAAUGGAGAGCGCAGUGGUUCAGUGUCAGAAACCUUGGGACACUCACCAAAAGUGGUUCACUGUGAUGGAGCUGGGUGAAACUUAAAGGAACAUCUGUCUUCACAAGCUUGCAAUUCUCAACUCUUCGCACCCUUGCGCAGUGUAAUAAUUAAAGAAGAAAUUUUGGUACCAUGACUCCUGCCAAAGCAUUCCAUGCUGUUUAGUGUCCUAGUGGCUGCCUCGAGCAUCUUGAGGCUCACAGCAUGUUGUCCCCUUUUAUUUUUCCUACCAACAUUGUUUAUGCAUUUAUGGGUUGGGAGCCAUUGUUACACCUCCAGGGGGGCAUUGCAAUCACUGUCUGUCUGUAACAGCCAUAGUGCCUAGAGUUUAGCUGAAAUUUGGAUGAAAUGUAGCACAUAGGUUGGCAGGUGGCCAGGAUAAUUAUUUUAUUAUUAUUGUUAUUAUUUUUCACUAAUGUCUAUUGACAACAAG